rnacentral:rRNA from 1 species
UUCUGGCUCAGGAUGAACGCUAGCUACAGGCUUAACACAUGCAAGUCGAGGGGCAGCGGGAAGUUAGCUGCUAACUUGCCGGCGACCGGCGCACGGGUGAGUAACGCGUAUCCAACCUUCCCCUUAGUAGGGCAUAGCCCGUAGAAAUGCGGAUUAAUACCCUAUGUUAUUCGUCGAUGACAUCUGAAGUGAAUCAAAGGUUUACCGCUAAGGGAUGGGGAUGCGUCUGAUUAGGCAGCAGGCGGGGUAACGGCCCACCUGGCCGACGAUCAGUAGGGGUUCUGAGAGGAAGGUCCCCCACAUUGGAACUGAGACACGGUCCAAACUCCUACGGGAGGCAGCAGUGAGGAAUAUUGGUCAAUGGUCGAGAGACUGAACCAGCCAAGUAGCGUGCAAGGAUGACGGCCCUAUGGGUUGUAAACUGCUUUUGUGCGGGAAUAAAGUCAGGGACGCGUCCCUGUUUGCAUGUACCGCAAGAAUAAGGACCGGCUAAUUCCGUGCCAGCCGCUGC